AGCCCAGCAACUCCUGUCCCUACCUCCUCACGGUACAGGCCGGAGUACGAGCAACCUUAGGGAAGA
rnacentral:ribozyme from 1 species